GGGGAUUUAGCUCAGCGGUAGAGCGCUUGCCUAGAGAGCCCAAGGCCCUGGGUUCGAUUCCCAGCUCCG
rnacentral:tRNA from 1 species